rnacentral:rRNA from 1 species
GACGAACCGAGCGAACGUUGUUCGGAAUCACUGGGCUUAAAGGGCGCGUAGGCGGGCUGUCAAGUCUGGGGUGAAAUCCCGCGGCUCAACCGUGGAACUGCCUCAGAUACUGACGGUCUCGAGGGAGGUAGGGGCGAGCGGAACUGAUGGUGGAGCGGUGAAAUGCGUUGAUAUCAUCAGGAACUCCGGUGGCGAAGGCGGCUCGCUGGAUCUCUUCUGACGCUGAGGCGCGAAAGCCGGGGGAGCAAACGGG